UAACACCACAAGAAAUUACUCCUAUUGCAACAAACCUUUUGACAAUGGUUCCAAAAGUAUUGCUAUAGAAGGUCUAUUGCAACGGUUGUAACCGUUGCAAAAAAAAAAUUAUUGUAAUAGAGCUAGUUGGUACUACAACCGUUGCUAUUGAUGGAUAAGCGUUGCAAUAGGGUGUCUUAUAGCGACGGUUGGAUGAAUCGUUUCCAUAGACACACCUAUGGCAAAAAUCAUAGAGAGAGAAAUCAAAUCUAAACAUUCUUCUUUGCGAAACACUCCUUUUCCCUUUCCCCUCUUUCCUCCUCCACCACCUUUCUCCCGUCUCCGUCGAGCACUGCCAGUUCAAGGGUUUCAACGUCGAUGAUAUCGACGACUUUGUUGACCUUGAUGAACCCAUAUCUGCCGCAUAACACCUCCGUCCUCCUCCCUUAGUGGCCACUCAAGUUACAUCUUGCCGUCCAACCCGAAGCCUGCGUCGAUGUCCUUUGAGAAAUGGGAUGAAGAUGAGUUAGCAGCCUUUCUCAUAUGACAAUUGUAAGAAAGGUUCAGAAAUCACUAGCAAAUUUAGAAGUGUUGCAUUCGACUGGUUCGGGCAAAUCUUUUCAUACCAACUGCUGUGGGCCCAAAUUUGCAAAAUAAGGUCAUAAAGAGCCAGUUUUUUGUGGAAUGCUUUUUAGAGAAAAACAAGCACACAUUCCUCGAUUACUUGGCAUGGGGUUAUGAACUUAACUUCAUGGUGGCCAUCGACUUUACUGGUUCUUUCUUCAUCGGGAUGGAAGAAGGGUGAUCUUUUUCUGGAUGAUGUUAACGCUCAAUUGAAGAAAAAGAAUAUUACAACUGACAUUAAAUUAGACUCAAGCUCCAAUGUGAGUUCUACAAUUCUCUCUUCUAUUUCACUGCUUAUUUUGUCAUCCCAUUUGUGUAUGGUGCUCUUGGAUUUCUGCUCAUCGUCUUUAGUGGUCAUUUGACAAUAUAUAAAUUCACAACCUUUUCUGAUUUAAAAUACCAUGUUUAUAUUUAUAGCCUUCUUAUCAUUUGCUUUUAGGGUAAU